rnacentral:tRNA from 1 species
GGCCUGGUAGCCAAGUGGUAAGGCAGGGGUUUGCAAAACCUCUAUACGGGAGUUCAAUUCUCCCCCAGGCCUCCG